UGGCACGGGAGGCCUGAACUUCUCUCUGUUUAUAGUGAAGAUCAUACAUCUCGUGCCUACAGUUAAGGCCGUUCUAUUCAAUCUUUAAAGCUUGGAUGGAAUGACAGCGGUCAGACAACCGCAGGGCUGGAUCCACAGAUGGAGGUCAUGUUUUCUGCCUCCGUCUACUAUUUCUAUGCCCACAUUU
rfam:Picea glauca, whole genome shotgun sequence.